AAAGAUGGUUCUGCUAUCACUCUUGGAUGGACCUGCGGUGCAUUAGCUAGUUGGUAAGGUAACGGCUUACCAAGGCAAUGAUGCAUAGCCGAGUUGAGAGACUGAUCGGCCACAUUGGGACUGAGACACGGCCCAAACUCCUACGGGAGGCAGCAGUAGGGAAUCUUCCACAAUGGACGAAAGUCUGAUGGAGCAACGCCGCGUGAGUGAAGAAGGGUUUCGGCUCGUAAAGCUCUGUUGGUAGUGAAGAAAGAUAGAGGUAGUAACUGGCCUUUAUUUGACGGUAAUUACUUAGAAAGUCACGGCUAACUACGUGCCAGCAGCCGCGGUAAUACGUAGGUGGCAAGCGUUGUCCGGAUUUAUUGGGCGUAAAGCGAGUGCAGGCGGUUCAAUAAGUCUGAUGUGAAAGCCUUCGGCUCAACCGGAGAAUUGCAUCAGAAACUGUUGAACUUGAGUGCAGAAGAGGAGAGUGGAACUCCAUGUGUAGCGGUGGAAUGCGUAGAUAUAUGGAGGAACACCAGUGGCGAAGGCGGCUCUCUGGUCUGCAACUGACGCUGAGGCUCGAAAGCAUGGGUAGCGAACAGGAUUAGAUACCCUGGUAGUCCAUGCCGUAAACGAUGAGUGCUAAGUGUUGGGAGGUUUCC
rnacentral:rRNA from 1 species